UCAAAUAUUAGAAAAAACGUAGAGGAAGAUCACCAAUACUGACAUAGGUCUUCUAAAGCGACAUCUCCUUAUUUCUUAGAAACUAAC